AUUUCAACGUCUUUGUCGGAAUAUAGACAUGAUCUGCACGUCGGGUGGACGUCUCAUGUUUGUUGGAUCUUGGACUCCAAAAGUGAUUUGCAGAAGACAUCUUGGAAUGCAUGGGGCUGGAUUUUCUGAUGCUUACUGCUCGCAUCUCUGCCUCCUGAACAGAAAUGCCUUGCUGGAUGUUGAAUGACCAUCAACUCAACCUUGCCAAGACAAAACUGCUCAUGUUUUCAGCCAGACCAACCUUGGUGUUAAAAUGGACACAUAUGAACUUCAUUGACCACAUCACAGUGGCCCGAUCCUGCAGAUUUGCCCUUAUGGGGCAUGCAACAGAACUGCUUGUCCAAGCUCUUAUUUUCUCUCCAUUCACAUCACAUCACAAAGAGGUACAAAUUCACUUUCACAGACCUUUACUUUGACUGUUUGAUGCUGUCGUUAUAAACUGCCUAACUCUGCCCAUUUUCAAGAAAUGGCUAAAAAAUUAUUUUUUUUGUUUUUCAUGAACGCUUGACCAAUUAAACAGGUAGUUCACCCAAAAAUCGAAACGAGCCUAUGAUUUACUCACCCUCAAUCCAUUGUAUGUGUACAUGACUUUCUUCUUUCAGACAAACACAAUCGGAGUUAUAUC